CCAGGACUCCAGGUCUCCUAAGGGAACAAAAGCAGGUUUGAGGGGCCCUCCAAGCAUGGUCAGCAUCAGACUCACUGGGGCCCAGGGCAGAAAGCUGAAGUCCCACCGCAUGGGGCUGAAGCCCAGGUCCCUGAGCCCCGCCACCCGGAGCUGAAGCCUGAGCAAUGUAGCUUCAUGGG